UGUUGGUUGCAAAGCACCAUACGUCAAAAGUGAUUUUAUGCUCUCAAGUGAUGAUUUAAAUGUACAAUUUAUAUCAAAUAGUUCGUAAAUGUUAUUCAAACAUCACACAUAAGAUGCAGGGGUUUUUGGAGAAUAUUUGUUGUGCAUUUUGUUGUAGAGAAUUCUCGCCAGUAUUAGCUAGCAACUUACUGUGUCUGGUGGGGGGGUUCAUAUAUUUUGUACAGUGCGUGAGUGCAGAGUUGGAUGGUGAGACGGGCAUUGCAUGACGUGCAAUUUUGUGUCGUUCUUAUCAGCAUUGCUGCUGUGGCCUGUUCCCUCUGAGGGGAUGAUUUGACAACCCUCAUAGAGAGAGAAUUCCCCUGGGUUCAGGCUCACUUCAAGAUAGGCCUGAGUCCUGUGUACAGGUUGAGUGUCGGCGGCGAGGGAGUGACUAACGUGCAGGCCCAGGGGGCAGUGACCCAGUACGCGUCCUGGUCAGCAGCAAUGGCUGCAGCCUUGUGGAGCUCCAGCCCAUCACGGGUAGCGACACUUCUGAAGAAUUUAAUCUGGUGUGGUUCCAAGUCAUCUGUUUCUGCAGUCACCCUGCACAUCCUAACUGAUAACAUCCCAACUAUAACAUGAUUGCAAAAAAAGAUUACACGGAACCUGCCUUCAUUUAGUGGGGGGAAAUUCGGGUGUUUUUACAGACUAAUAUUUUUGACUCAUUCAGUCAAAAGAGCAAAUCUUUCGACUCAUUUUGUUCAUUUGAGUCAGUAAUGCUCAGAACACAGGACGCUUACAGGAUAAUGAUGAACUGAAAAUUCAAAAUAGUAACGAUUCUACAAGCCCCCUCGUUCACCACAAGGGGCUUAUUGGAGCUUUCAUUUGUGAUUGUUUAAAACACCCUUUUACAAGUCUCAAUGUACAUUUGUUGAUUGCUAGACAUGCAAAUGCGAUGAUGUCUCUUUACAUUUGAAACGAGUCGUGGCCGCAACUCGACUAGAUUGCGAGCGUGUCUUGGGGGAACGCAUUUCUCGACUGCCUUGAGGGUAAUAAGCAUAAUAUUAUUUGCGAACUUCAGCAUCCCAAAUGAUUCAUUCAAGUUCGAGUUUGUUGAGCAGAGGCUGUGUAUGUUUUGGUUCUACAAAGCUGUGUAGAAAUUUUCGAGAAUAUAUGAUAUGCUGUCCGGAGCACGUUAACGGAGGAGUGCGUAUUAAUCCUGCUGUAGAAUUAAUUGCGGCUAGCAGUUCAAACGACUUAAAACGAACGAGUCAAAUAAGAAGAAUUGUAUCAUAACUCUCGAGUCAGUAAAAAGUCCUUCAAAAAGAACAGAUCGUUCUUUAGUCUUUGUUGUUGAGGGGUCUGCUACACACUAAUAGCUCACAUUAACCUAGGUCAUAGAAGACACGAUGCUCCUUUUAACAGUAGCACCAUUUUUGAACAACCUUGUGAACCAGCGUAGUAACCUGUUCAGUGUCUCUUGCCUCAUCCAUCCAUCUCCUGCUCAUAGGGGUGAGGAUCCACACCCCAGCAUACACUCUGGGGUGUCAUAUCCUUGGGGACCACAAAAACUUCCACCUUAGAAAUUGCUGGAUGGUUUGUUACCGAGCCUGGGAUUGAAACAAAGCAAGGCACGUCGCCUUCUUCCCUAACCUUGUACGCACGUCAGCUGACAGCUGCCAGUGAUAUCACUGUGUCCUGCCCCCUGCUGAAGUACUUCACCACCAGCACCCUGCGACGACUGCAGAUCCCCAUUCCAGAUAAGAGGAUGAAUGGUGGAGCGGCAUCACUUCAAGUGACCUUUGACCUAAUGGUUGUCCCAAGUUCCAAGAGCUAAGGCCUGACUGAAAUUCUUAAAAAGCCACACACACUCAUUCACAGUACAAAGGCACGUUUGGGGGGGAAAAAACAGACUUUCUUAUUUAGCCUCCAACACCACUAGAAUAUCAAUACAUACAGGAGAUCAUAAAUGCCAAUAAAAAUACAUGUAAAAAAAAAAAGUGAGCAGAGUUCCCAUUAAAUGUCUGUUGGUGUGUAAUCCACUCUGCUCUUGGCUCCUGUCCUGUCUGGAACCUGAGAGCUUAGAGGACAAGAGGCACAGGAGGGUCCCUGUGAGGGCUAACAUGUUAAAUGUGGUACAUUUCCAUAUACACACCCCUACGUAUUUAUUUGGACAGUGAAGCUAAAAUAUGUACAUUUGGCCCUAUACUCUAGCAUCUUGGAUGACAUCAAAUGUUAUGAGGCGACAGUACAGAAUGCCACUUUUAAUUUGAAGGUAUUUUCAUACGUGAUUACAAACUUGUAGAUGCAUUUGCAGUUUGGUUGUGUUUCGGAUUAUAUUUUGCCCAAUAGGAAUGGUGAAUAAUGUAUUGUCAUUUUGGAGUCACCUUUUAUUGUAAGUAAGAAUAAAAUAUGUUUGUUAACACUA